UACAGAGGUCUCAAGCGUUGUUCGAUUCAUUGGGCGUAAAGGGUGUGUAGGUGGCGCGCUAAGUCGGGUGUGAAAUUUCGGAGCUUAACUCCGAAACUGCAUUCGAUACUGGCGUGCUUGAGGACUGGAGAGGAGACUGGAAUUCAUGGUGUAGCAGUGAAAUGCGUAGAGAUCAAUGAGGAAGACCAGUGGCGAAGGCGGG
rnacentral:rRNA from 1 species